AUGGCCUGGACCCCUCUCCUGCUCCCCCUCCUCACUUUCUGCACAGUCUCUGAGGCCUCCUAUGAGCUGACACAGCCACCCUCGGUGUCAGUGUCCCCAGGACAAACGGCCAGGAUCACCUGCUCUGGAGAUGCAUUGCCAAAAAAAUAUGCUUAUUGGUACCAGCAGAAGUCAGGCCAGGCCCCUGUGCUGGUCAUCUAUGAGGACAGCAAACGACCCUCCGGGAUCCCUGAGAGAUUCUCUGGCUCCAGCUCAGGGACAAUGGCCACCUUGACUAUCAGUGGGGCCCAGGUGGAGGAUGAAGCUGACUACUACUGUUACUCAACAGACAGCAGUGGUAAUCAUAG